rnacentral:siRNA from 1 species
GAUGUUCUGGGCCGCACGCGC